rnacentral:rRNA from 1 species
GAUGAACGCUGGCGGCGUGCCUAAUACAUGCAAGUCGAGCGAACAGACGAUGAUCUUGCUCCUUUGAUGUUAGCGGCGGACGUGUGUGUAACACGUAUAUCACCUACCUAUAAUACUGAGAUAACUUCGGGACACCGGAUCUUAUACCGUAUAAUAUUUCGAAGCGCGGUGUUCGAUGGUGAAAUAUGGCUGUGCUAUCACUUAUAGAUGCUCUUGCGCCGUAUUAGCUAGUUGUUAAGGUAACGGCUUACCAAGGCAACGAUACGUAACCGACCUGAGAGGGUGAUCGGCCACACUGGAACUGAGACACGGUCCAGACUCCUACGGGAGGCAGCAGUAGGGUAUCUGCCGCAAUGGGCGAAAGCAUGACGGAGCAACGCCGAGUGAGUGAUGAAGGUCUUCGGAUCGUAAAACUGUGUUAUUAGGGAAGAACAAACGUGUAAGUAACUGUGGACGUAUUGACGGUACCUAAUAAGAAAGCACCGGCUAACUACGUG